CAGUCGCCGCGGGAAUACGUAGGGUGCAAGCGUUAAUCGGAAUUACUGGGCGUAAAGCGUGCGCAGGCGGUUUGUUAAGACAGAUGUGAAAUCCCCGGGCUCAACCUGGGAACUGCAUUUGUGACUGGCAAGCUAGAGUCUGGCAGAGGGGGGUGGAAUUCCGCGUGUAGCAGUGAAAUGCGUAGAUAUGCGGAGGAACACCGAUGGCGAAGGCAGCCCCCUGGGCCAACACUGACGCUCAUGCACGAAAGCGUGGGGAGCAAACAGGAUUAGAUACCCCUGUAGUCCCUGUCUCUUAUAC
rnacentral:rRNA from 1 species